rnacentral:rRNA from 1 species
UACGUAGGCAGCAAGCGUUGUUCGGAAUUACUGGGCGUAAAGCGUGUGUAGGCGGUGCUAUAAGUUCGGUGUGAAAUCUCCCGGCUCAACUGGGAGGGUGCGCCGAAAACUGUGGUGCUAGAGUGCAGGAGAGGUAAGCGGAAUUCCUGGUGUAGCGGUGAAAUGCGUAGAUAUCAGGAGGAACACCUGCGGUGUAGACGGCUUACUGGACUGUGACUGACGCUGAGACACGAAAGUGUGGGGAGCAAACAGG